CCAUACAAUCUCGAAGAAGAAAAAGAAGAAUAAGGUGGUGACCCCAGGGGGUCAAUGUUGAGACUGAAGCUUCGGUCCUCCUUGAUCGUCCAAUCUUUGUGAAACUUUGUGAAAUCUGUGUUAAGACCGGAACAUUUUCUGCUGGAGUGAACUGAGUGGCUGAUGCAGUUAACUGGAAGCCUGAACUCCAAACACUCAGACCACGUCCACAUGAAGCCAUCUAAAUGUUUACAACUCGAUCUUUGUCCAGACUAACAGAGUAUCCAGGUGGUUCUACUAGAGAGCUCUGUCCACAGUCAUACACCUGAACAAAAGAAAAACAGUUAAAUCUCUUCUUCUCGUCCUCUUUUCAGUUAAAGAAAACAUGGUGAGGAGUGAGACAGUCUGUUAAACCUGCAUUCAGUCUCCUGUUCUCUGUGAUUACCCUCAUUGUGUUUUAAUGCAGAUCAAUGCAACGUGUAGUUGUUCUCAAUUACAGAUUUUUCUGUUUCUGUUCUCAGAUAAUGAAUCAGGAUGAAACAGUGAUUUAAUCUCAAAAACAAUACGUGUUAACCAACAGUCAUUCCCAAGCUUGGAUACAACUAAAUCUAUGAUCGAUCACAGACAAAGUUAGAGACAACAGAGCCUACAGUUUAGCAUUAACACACUCUGGUUCUGGAAAAACUCAGUUUUAGUCUGGAUGGAGGAAAAAGAUGUUUACAAAUGUAACCAGUUUAAUGUGGACGUACUCUGAGGAUUGAAGUCAGAGUAAAUACCGUCUGACAAGAGGAGAACAUCUGGAGGAGGAGCAGGAGGAGCAGGAGGAAGGAGGACAGCGGUCGUGGGAGAGUGUGGCUGAUGUGCGCAUUCCAGGAAUAUUUCAUUCCUCCUAGGACAAACUGUUUGAACUCUGAUCUGAGUUCAGAUUUACAGACAUGAGAGCAGCUGAAGAGCAGCAGAGCACUAAUCUCAGUUUGUAUGUUUACCUGUUCCUGUUUACAUAUUUACACAUUUAAAUAUUAUAGAACAGCACAUAAAACAUUAUUAUGAUUUACUUUGAAUUAAAGUGUUCCUCUGGUGUUAUUCUAUAUCGGCCUUAGCAUUAAAUCUCAUUUUCCGACUCAAACCAAUAGUGUGUUACUUUCUGACUUCCCUCCUCUGUUUGUGGCUCUCAGCUCCAAGCACAUUGGUUCCUACUGAAGAU